rnacentral:rRNA from 1 species
GACGAACGCUGGCGGCGUGCCUAAUACAUGCAAGUCGAGCGGACCGAACGAGGGCUUGCUCUUGUUUGGUCAGCGGCGGACGGGUGAGUAACACGUGGGCAACCUGCCCGCAAGACCGGGAUAACUCCGGGAAACCGGAGCUAAUACCGGAUAACACCGAAGACCGCAUGGUCUUCGGUUGAAAGGCGGCCUUUGGGCUGUCACUUGCGGAUGGGCCCGCGGCGCAUUAGCUAGUUGGUGAGGUAACGGCUCACCAAGGCGACGAUGCGUAGCCGGCCUGGGAGGGUGACCGGGCAGACUGGGACUGAGACACGGCCCAGACUCCUACGGGAGGCAGCAGUAGGGAAUCUUCCGCAAUGGGCGAAAGCCUGACGGAGCGACGCCGCGUGAGCGAAGAAGGCCUUCGGGUCGUAAAGCUCUGUUGUGAGGGACGAAGGAGCGCCGUUCGAAGAGGGCGGCGCGGUGACGGUACCUCACGAGAAAGCCCCGGCUAACUACGUGCCAGCCGCCGCAGUAA